UACGUAGGGGGCUAGCGUUGUCCGGAAUCAUUGGGCGUAAAGCGCGUGUAGGCGGCCCGGUAAGUCCGCUGUGAAAGUCGGGGGCUCAACCCUCGAAAGCCGGUGGAUACUGUCGGGCUCGAGUGCGGAAGAGGCGAGUGGAAUUCCUGGUGUAGCGGUGAAAUGCGCAGAUAUCAGGAGGAACACCGAUUGCGAAGGCAGCUCGCUGGGACGUUACUGACGCUGAGACGCGAAAGCUAGGGGAGCGAACAGG
rnacentral:rRNA from 1 species